CCUACGGGAGGCAGCAGUGGGGAAUAUUGGGCAAUGGACGAGAGUCUGACCCAGCAACGUAGCGUGAAGGAUGAAUGCCCUAUGGGUUGUAAACUUCUUUUAUAUGGGAGUAAAAUGUUCGACGUGUGGAAUUAUGUAUGUGCAAUAUGAAUAAGGAUAGUCUAACUCCGUGCCAGCAGCCGCGGUACUACGGAGGAGACGAGCGUUAUCCGGAUUUAUUGGGGUUAAAGGGAGCGUAGGUGGAUUGUGAAGUCAGUUGUGAAAGUUUGCGGCUCAACCGUAAAAUUGCAGUUGAAACUGGCAGUCUUGAGUACAGUAGAGGUGGGCGGAAUUCGUGGUGUAGCGGUGAAAUGCUUAGAUAUCACGAAGAACUCCGAUUGCGAAGGCAGCUCACUGGACUGCAACUGACACUGAGGCUCGAAAGUGUGGGUAUCAAACAGGAUUAGAUACCCCUGUAGUC
rnacentral:rRNA from 1 species